GUAUAUAGCGGGUCGGGUCCGUAUCCAUCCCCCCCUGCUCAUCCCCACAGUCCUGUCCCCGUCCACUCCGCCGCCGCCGCCGCCGCCGCCGCGAAUUCCGCCGGCGUCCGCCCCCGCGCGCGUGCUCUGCGCCCCCGCGGACUCCAGCGCCUCCGGAUCGGAGCCCCUGAACAUGGCGGCCGCCGCGCUCAGGGUUCAGCUCGAGGCGCUCCUCGAGAACAUGUUCGCCACGGGUAUGGUGGACGAGCAGUUCCGGCAGCUGCAGUUGCUGCAGGAGGAGGGGGGCAGCGCGUCGGGCUUCGUCGCCGAGGUCGCCACCCUCUUCAUCGACGACGCCGACCGGAUCAUCGCCGACAUCGGGAGCCUGCUGGACCAGCCCGUGGUGGAUUUCGACAAGGUGGACGCCCACGUGCACCAGCUCAAGGGGAGCAGCUCGAGUGUUGGUGCUCAGAAAGUGAAGCUCGCCUGCAUGCACUUCCGCCAGUUCUAUGAGGCAAAAAGCAAAGAAGGGUGCCUCAUGGCGUUGGCUCUUGUUAGGAGUGAGUUCUGUGAUGUGCGCAACAAGUUCCAGACCAUGAUGCAGCUGGAGCAGCAGAUCGAGGCCUGCAGUCCCAAGUAGAGUAGCAGUCACUGAAGCAAAAGGAGCUUAGCUCCGUGUGACCCCCGUGUAUGUAUCUCUUAUGCUUGUAGGCAGUGUAACGGGUGUCGGGGGCUCUGGAAGGCGUGUGUGCGGAACCGGACCGACCGAUUCCCACGUCGGAGCUCCGGACUCGUGACCCUUUGAAACGCAACUUGCUUGCCCUGUGUCAAUGUACGUGUCAACGCUAUGCUUGUUUGUGUCGUGUCCGCCCCCAGGCUGCGUGUAAACUCUUACCUUGUUGUUGUAUGUUGUUGGGGUCC